GGUUGAAGGCCGAAACAUCCAAGUUCUUUCACAGGUCUUUGACAGCCCGAAGGACCACUGCAAUCAGUUUGUGAAUCUGAGAAGGGAAUAUGUUGAAUAAAAUCAUAAUUAACUGAUUUUCCUGUAUUUUCUUUUACUGAAAACCAGGAACUUUUCAGCACCAUUCUCCAUCAUGUGUGUGUGUGU